CCUACGGGUGGCAGCAGUGAGGAAUAUUGGUCAAGGGGCGCGAGCCUGAACCAGCCAAGUAGCGUGAAGGAUGACUGCCCUACGGGGUGUAAACUUCUGGUAUAAAGGAAUAAAGUGAGGCACGUGUGCCUUUUUGUAUGUACUUUAUGAAUAAGGAUCGGCUAACUCCGUGCCAGCAGCCGCGGUAAUACGGAGGAUCCGAGCGUUAUCCGGAUUUAUUGGGUUUAAAGGGAGCGUAGAUGGGUUGGUAAGUCAGUUGUGAAAGUUUGCGGCUCAACCGUAAAAUUGCAAUUGAUACUGGCAGUCUUGAGUACCGUUGAGGUCGGCGGAAUUCGUUGUGUCGCGGU
rnacentral:rRNA from 1 species